ensembl:snRNA U2 U2 spliceosomal RNA
AUCGCUUCUCGGCCUUUUGGCUAAGAUCAAGUGUAGUAUCUGUUCUUAUCAGUUUAAAUAUGCACACACAUGUACCCCUACAUGCUAGCACACAGUGGAGGGAGGUGGCAGAGAAAUGCUGAAAUUUCUACUAACGUGACGUUUCUUUAGUUACAGCUCUAUUAUGAGUCUGAGUUCACUGGGUUGAUUUCCAAAAUUUUGUAAUAAUUUCUUCAAGCCUCC